rnacentral:rRNA from 1 species
UAGAGUUUUGAUCAUGGCUCAGAUUGAACGCUGGCGGCAUGCCUUACACAUGCAAGUCGAACGGCAGCGCGGGAGCAAUCCUGGCGGCGAGUGGCGAACGGGUGAGUAAUACAUCGGAACGUGCCCAAUCGUGGGGGAUAACGCAGCGAAAGCUGUGCUAAUACCGCAUAAGAUCUACGGAUGAAAGCAGGGGAUCGCAAGACCUUGCGCGAAUGGAGCGGCCGAUGGCAGAUUAGGUAGUUGGUGGGGUAAAGGCUCACCAAGCCAACGAUCUGUAGCUGGUCUGAGAGGACGACCAGCCACACUGGGACUGAGACACGGCCCAGACUCCUACGGGAGGCAGCAGUGGGGAAUUUUGGACAAUGGGCGCAAGCCUGAUCCAGCCAUGCCGCGUGCAGGAUGAAGGCCUUCGGGUUGUAAACUGCUUUUGUACGGAACGAAAAGUCUCUUUCUAAUAAAGAGGGAUCAUGACGGUACCGUAAGAAUAAGCACCGGCUAACUACGUGCCAGCAGCCGCGGUAAUACGUAGGGUGCAAGCGUUAAUCGGAAUUACUGGGCGUAAAGCGUGCGCAGGCGGUGAUGUAAGACAGUUGUGAAAUCCCCGGGCUCAACCUGGGAACUGCAUCUGUGACUGCAUCGCUGGAGUACGGCAGAGGGGGAUGGAAUUCCGCGUGUAGCAGUGAAAUGCGUAGAUAUGCGGAGGAACACCGAUGGCGAAGGCAAUCCCCUGGGCCUGUACUGACGCUCAUGCACGAAAG